GACGAACGCUGGCGGCGUGCUUAACACAUGCCAGUCGAACGGAAAGGCCUGCUUUCCCUUGUGGAUUGCGGGUACUCGAGUGGCGAACGGGUGAGUAACACGUGAGUGAUCUGCCCCCAACUUGGGUAUAAGCCUGGGAAACUGGGUCUAAUUCCCGAUAGGACUGCAGGGUGGUGCCUGUGGUGGAAAACGAUUUUCUAGUGGUUGGGGAUGAGCUCGCGGCCUAUCAGCUUGUUGGUGGGGUAGUGGCUUACCAAGGCUUUGACGGGUAGCCGGCCUGAGAGGGUGACCGGCCACAUUGGGACUGAGAUACGGCCCAGACUCCUACGGGAGGCAGCAGUGGGGAAUAUUGCACAAUGGGCGGAAGCCUGAUGCAGCAACGCCGCGUGCGGGAUGACGGCCUUCGGGUUGUAAACCGCUUUCGCCUGUGACGAAGCGUGAGUGACGGUAAUGGGUAAAGAAGCACCGGCUAACUACGUG
rnacentral:rRNA from 1 species